rnacentral:siRNA from 1 species
UUAGCGCUGAUGCGACGGUC